GACAGGGCUCCAUUUUUGAUAGGUUUUCGGUCUUCAUCAAGAUAGGUCAGGGGGAUGCGCCUUAUCCUCUUCCUUCAGCUGCCCCCGCCCGGCCCGGAAGUUAGCUUCUGGCGACUAGCUUCUACCCCUUGGACUUGGAAGCAAGUAGAGGAAGAUUGAGGUCAAUCAAUGAAUGAAAAGAAAGCGCUUACGAAUAGAAAGGGAGGACAGGUUGGUUCGAGGACCCGUUGGUCAAAGGAAAGGGGAGGUCCUGAUGCCGGGACGGAGCCGUAUGAGGCGAGAGUCUCACGUACGGUUCCUUUGAGAAGGGUGUGAUACCACCACCUAUCAGGCCCGACGAGCGGUCCACGGAGCUGCAUCCCUACUCACCUGGUCCAUGCACAUCGCUCUCUCCAGGAGGUUGGCCGCCUAUCCUAGAUCUUCCCAUUUUCAAGAAGAUCCCGGGCUCGAUCUGGUUUAGUAUCAAGGUGAUUCUCUUUCUCUUUCUAUAUAUAUGGGUCCGUGCAGCAUUUCCACGAUAUCGUUAUGAUCAAUUAAUGGGACUUGGCCGGAAAGUGUUCUUGCCUCUAUCAUUAGCUCGGGUAGUCUUAGUUUCUGGUCUUUCAGUCACCUUUCAAUGGCUCCCUUAAUUAUGUGCGAGGAAUUUCCCUCGUCGAGUAAUGGGAAGCGGGCUAGUCCCCGAAAAUGCCCGUUCCUUUGUCGUUGGGGCCCAAAAUCUUCCUUGCUUGCAGAGACUUGACUUGUAGUCUUGUAAGAUUGGCUCAAAGACCAGAAAGAGACCGCAGCCAAUUCAGGAAGAACAAGUGCAUAAAGCUAACCCCUAACCAUAUUCUAGUACUAGUAUAUAUUAUAUAACAAGAGAAAGUCUUCAAGGCCUUUUUAUGAUGGGCGUUUACUCUACCUCAAAAGGAAAGGUAGAACUACAAGAAGCAAGAGUUCACUAUCGAGAAUAAAACAUCUCAUUCAGAGCUUUCCCUAAAGAAGAAAGACCACCUAUUUACUCAAGAGGUAGUGGAGGCCAACUAGCAAUUCCAGAAAAUGCAAUCUUUACAAGUAAGCAUUAAAAUCUUCUUGGGUUACUUGCUUAAAAUCUGACUAAGAAAGCGAACCCUUUUUCAUUUGAGUUUCCAGUCGGCAUUCUCAAGAAAAUACGGAAUACAUCGACUGCCGCGAAGGCGCUUACAAGAAGAAAAAAAUCCUCCUGCUGAAAGAAUCUCAAAAAGAAAGAAUCUCAUCUUGAGCCCGUAGUUAGGCUCUCGCAAUAUUCUUUGCACCUUCGGACUAUCCAUGUUGACUAUUACUUUCUAAGUCGCCUAGUAAAGGAAAAGGGCAAUUCGCCUUAACCUUAACAAAAGCAAGAAGGGGGAAGAGUCCUACAACUUCAGUCCCAUUCACUCCAGACACUACUGACUUACAAGGAUUAGUCGAUGAUUUCAGGGCAACAAGUCAAGCAUUAGGCUGAGAGGCGGAUACGGUUUUCCCCGCGGAUUAGACCAGCAUGACCUCAGGGAUGAAUGAACUACUGACGGACAGGAUGAAAGGUUUGACCCUCCGUGAACCCUUAUCCGAUAGGGGAAGGAGGCUAGACUAGGUAAAUUGAAUACCAGCUGGUUUAUCAUGAAAUAAGAUAAAGGCUGCACAUGAAAAGAAAGAGUGCGAAUUGGUUAAGAAGCACGAGUCGAAGGGUGAAUCCCUUAAUAGAAUAUCCCUGUUCGAGUUCGUAUUCAAGCUAAGUAGAUUUUCCGAUUGAGAAAAGACUAAAAGCAAAGCUCCAGAUGAGUUUCAUUGAGUUGUUAGCUAUGAGUAAGAAGUUCGAGUUGUUGAGUUUCUUCACUCUCCAACAUUCACAGGAGAUGUUCCGUAGGUGAAUUCCUUGGCUAGGGCAGUUCGGAAAGAAAGAAAAAGACGGAGAAGCUGGAUCAGCAGCAUAAGGAGGAGAAGCUGCAGAAGGAGAAAAAGAAGCGAGGUUCGUUCUCGUCUCUCCCGAAGGAUUCGAAUCCUAAAGCUUGCUUCCAGAAAGAAGAUAGGCCGAAUAUAAAGUACUCAUAGCCGGUCUUCAAGCAGAAAGAAAGCAGGAUGCCAAAUUCAAGAUUCAAUGGAAAGAAAAAGACUACGAACAUUCUAAUGGCGCGACAGGCGCAAAGAUCGUGGCCCACGUAGCGGUGCAAUAAGACAGGUCCGAAGGCGCCAUAAGACAGGUCCGAAGGACUAUCCAUUUGAGUUGCGUGAGUUGAACCGAUUCAUUCUUCAUUCAUUCAUUCACGCAUAUUUCAUUGCGCCUCCGUUAGGCGCAAAGAAUAUUGCGAGACCGCGUAGAAGGAGUCUUAUGAAACCUGGACCCUUCUUUUUAAAGAAGAAGAAGUCCUACGUCCUACGUCCGCAGUCCUACGUCCGCAGGAUUUAUCCGUAGUCCGGAGUCCGCAGUCCGCAGGAUUUAUCCGUAGGACUAUCCAUUAGAAGGAGGACUAUCCAUAUGGAAGUAGGACCAUCCAUAUGGAAGGAAGUAGUCCUACGUCCGCAGGAUUCUUAUCCGUAGUCCGGAGUCCGGAGUCCGCAGGGCCAAAGAAAGGUCCAGGUGAUUUAUCCGUAGGACCAUCCAUAUGGAGGGAAGUAGUCCGGAGUCCGGAGGAUUCUUAUCCGUAGGACUAUCCAUAUUCAGGAGCGGAAUCAAGAAUAGACCCGUCAGUAUCCGGACCAGAAACCAUAAGAAAACUCUGUUCAUUGAUUUUCCCUAGAUUUUGCUAAUGGACCAGUUGCAAUUUCCCGGCUUUUUUGCUUCUAAAUAGGACUUUUUCGACUUUUCUUAUCUAACGAAAAUAGAUCAAUUUUGACUGAUUUUUUGUCUUUUCUUGCUACUUUAUAGGCCCAAAACCUAGCAUUUCCCUCCGCGGAUUCAUCUGAAAUCUAGCACAAAGAUGUCUGAAAUCUUCAAUCUACCAGAUUCAUAAUUCUUCUUUCAUUAUCGUUAAUGAGUUCAUUAUUCAGCACUUUCUAUUUCUUUCUCCUAAUUUGUAAACUCGAAAUCUGAAAAGAGCCUUCGCUUCUUUAAUGGGAACGUUGUAAAGGGUAGAAAACUCCUACAAGAUCCAGUCCUACGUCCGCAGUCCGCAGUCCGGAGGAUUUAUCCGUAGUCCGGAGUCCGCAGGAUUCUUAUCCGUAGGACUAUCCAUAUGGAAGUAGGACCAUCCGUAAUUAACCGAAGUAGUCCGGAGUCCGGAGUCCGCAGGAUUUAUCCGUAGGACUAUCCAUUAGAAGUAGGACUAUCCAUAUGGAAGUAGGACCUUCCGUAAUUAACCGAAGUAGGACUAUCCGUAAUUAACCGAAGGAGUGGGCUGGAGCUUUUGUUUUUGGAGCUAAAGUGGGCGCAGCCCACGGAGCGGUUCAAAGAAUAUUGACAAGACUUCCAGGCGCAAAGAGCGAGGAGCAAAGAUCUAUGGCCCCCAAUUAUAAGGGGUCCAGAUGACUAUCCACUAGGGAAUAUUGCGUGAGAAUAGUCCUUCGCCUAGAAAUGCACUUUGCUCCUACUAUAUAGCUCCGGACGAGUCAGGCGCAUAUUGCGAGGUGCAAUUCCGUUAAUAUGGAUAAGUCCUUCGGACCUGUGAAAUCCACUUUUUCUAGUGAGAGGUGAGCGGCAGAUUCGCGAGCCUAGACUUGCACCAUAUUCUGAAUUUCUUCAGACCCUUUUCGAGGAAUGUUCGGGUUAACGACCGAUAAAAGCGUAGAUCGAAUCAUUCUGUCCUGAAUAAUCAGAAUUCAAGACCUCCCCGAUUUUAGAAGAGAAAAAAAAACCUCUAAGUCGAGCACAAGACCCCUUUAUUUAUGGAUGUUCAUUGAGCCUUGUGGAUCCCAAAAAAAAGAAAGCUUUAUCCCCUGAAAAGCCAAUUAUGAAAAAGAGUAGCAAGAAGAUGCUCCCAAGUGACCGGUGUCGGCCAGCCAAGCAGAUGUGAUUCUUUCUCUUCCUUUCCUAUUCUCACUGACAUUCAGGGCAAUAUUCUUUGCACCUUGCUCCAAAAACUCCAAGAGCACACUAGGCACCAAGUCGCAGUGACAACGCUUUCCAGCGGUAGUCCUCCGGUAAUCAAGCAAGAAGAAAAAAGCAUUCCUCGUCGCGGCGACUAGCUUCUCAAGUGGGUGGCUUGGUAAGCAAGAAGCUACCUUCAGCAUCGGUCAAAUCCCUAUCAAUAAAGAAAUAGGCCGGAAUGGUGGGGAAGGAGGCCCUCCCUACUGAAAUGGAAAGGGGGGAAUCGCCCAGCCCUUCUUCUAAAAACUACCUUUCGCCCAACAUGAUCACAAACGAAGACAGAGAAUUGCGUAGAUAGGAGGAGGAAACGAACCAACCCACUUGUCCUGAUCGGAACGAACGAUUGAAGAAAGAAAAGGGUGGCCCCUUUCGCCCAGGGGACAUCGUCGGAGAACAAUGUCGGGGACAGGGACCUUCCGUUGGUUACGCCCUUUAAGUCUUGGUUCUUCCAUAUUUAGAUAUGGAGAUAGAGAUCUAUCUCCUUCUAGAGAAAGAUAGAUAGGCAAAAUUUGAUUGAUCUGCUUUCAAGAUCUAUGAACAAUCAAUGAACAAAGACAUUUGAAAAAAGAGAUGUGAAUAAAUAGAUAGGGCGGAGCCAGCUGAAGGAAGGUCGCGUGAGCGCCCCUGCAAUCAAACUAAAGUAAGAAGCGCGAAACUUUACUUUGAGAAAGUUAUAUUAGAAUAUUAGUGCGCGUUAGCCUAUCUAUAGUAAUGGGCUUCUCAAAGGUUUAGGGGUGCGUAGAUUUGGAACCCUAUCCCAUGGGCUUUCUCUGAGAGGGGCUCGCUUCUUCAAGCGGAGCUUGCUGUCUACUAAACGAGCCUUCACUGCCCGCCCGGCCCCUAUCUUUAAUAAAAAGUAAAGUGAAGUCAAAUAAAAGAAAGCCCAACCUCUUUCUUUUAAGCUUUUCCAGAAAGCAACUACUUAUUAAAGCUUUGCUUCCCCUAAUUCCAAAGCACAAGAAUAGACUUGCAAGGUAUAGGAAAAAGCUUUUCUUUGAUAGCGGUCAGGGUUCAGAAAGGAUCUGAUCCUAUCUCGAGACUGAAAGCGGGGGUAGGGGCGGAUGUAGCCAAGUGGAUCAAGGCAGUGGAUUGUGAAUCCACCACGCGCGGGUUCAAUCCCCGUCGUUCGCCCAUCAAUAAAUGGACCAUUUCUUACGGAGACAGAAGAGAAAGCACCUAUCAAGCAUUUUUUCUGCAAGUCAUCUCGAGGCUUUCAAAGGCAUCCAAACAAUUGGUAUCCGAUUAAAAGCAUAGAUUCGCCUCGCCUACUUACUUCAAGCACAAAUGGAAUGGCUGAUCAUUUCUUGUAUUCAGUUUUUAAGACCUCACUAAUCAGCCAACCACUUUCAAGUUCAUAAUGAAUGAGUUUUUUAGUGGAAUAAGACUCGUCCUUCCGCCCUCCCUUUUACUAAACCAUGGGGAGCCCCGAGUAGUUUACCGGGCAAAUUGAGUUCUCGUGAGGAGUGGAAGAUCGGAAAUUUUCUGAAUCACGAGACUACAGGUCCGAAGGACUAUCCAUUAGGGAAGAGUAAGAGGCGCAAUGAAAUAUGCGUGAGAGCAAAGACAGGCUGAAUGAAUUGAGAUUGAAAUUCGGCACUUGCUUCCUUCGUCUUAAGUAAAGUGUUGUUGACUUUUUAGAUUUGGAACUCUUAGUCGAGGGCGAGAUCUAUUUUUUCUUCGAGACGAGAUAUCGGGGAGGAACCGCCGCCCAAUGGUGCUUUUACGAAAGUACGGUCCCUGGUGGCUAAUACCUUCUCUACACUAUCGAACCCUCAACAAUAUCCCUGUCUUAUGGCGCCUCAAUCGUUUAGAAAAGAUUUUUUUCGACUUAACUCAGGCAAAAAGUGCCCUAUCUGCCUUGUUGUUCUAGGGGGGUCUUUUUUUUCAAGUCAAGCUCCGUAUCCCUACCUCUUUUUAGGUUGGCAUAACAAAGAAAAAGAGUGUCAAGAAAGAACACAUACCCCAUCACUUUUUGAAGGUUCGGAAUCGUCAGGGAGCCCCUAUAGACGUCAAAACUUGACUUCACUGAACCGGCACUACUCUUUGUCGGCUCCUACCACUCGUCCCUCGUCUGCUUGUCGAGCGCGCCCUUGGCCCUUGCUCGUCUAUAGUAGCCGAUCGAGCUUCUUCGCCCCUCUCCCGCUUAUUGAUUAGGGCGAGUCACUCAAGUCCCUUGUCACUCGACUCUCUUUUCUUUUACGAAAAUCCCUGGGUUUUUGCCUUUUUCGUAAACUAAACUCGCUCGUCAAGAGAGGAGUUGCCUCACUACGAAAGGUGUCCCAUGGAUGGACGAGUUCCUAAACUACGAAAGAUAUGGAGCGGAUGGCGUACUGAUAGAUCUCCUAUUCGUUCUGGAUCCAGAUGAAACUUUUUUUGAUAUUAGUAAAGCGCUAACGCGCCCUGAAAACGAAAGUAAAGCAGCAAGCCCACUCCUCCUUCAGCAUAAUCUAAAAAUAGGGCAAUAUUCUUCUCAAAUUCUUUGAGCCCUCCCCCAGUGCAAAGAAUAUUGCGAAGACCGCUCCGAAGGAGUCUUAUGAAACCUGGACCCUUCUUUCCAUAUGGAUAGUCCUACUUCCUUCCAUAUGGAUGGUCCUACUUCCUUCCAUAUGGAUGGUCCUACUUCCAUAUGGAUAGUCCUACUUCUAAUGGAUAGUCCUCCGGAUAAAUCCUGCGGACUCCGGACCCUGGACCUUUCUUUGGCCCUGCGGACUGCUUCGGUUAAUUACGGAUGGUCCUACGGAUAAAUCCUCCGGACUACUUCCAUAUGGAUAGUCCUACUUCCUUCCAUAUGGAUGGUCCUACGGAUAAAUCCUGCGGACUCCGGAUAAAUCCUGCGGACUCCGGACUCCGGACUCUAAAAGAAAUUGCCAAGUUUGAAAGGCAAAAAGGAUCUCAGAUCAUUUGCUUAAGACAUGCAAGUCAGGAGUUCAGACUCCUUUUCGCAAAUUCUUUGCUCAUGAAAAGGCGAACUUUCAGUCGCUUCGAGACUUUGCUUUCUCAAAUUCUUUGACCCUCUUCUGAAUUGCUUUCAGACUCCUAACGGAGCGGUCGGACCUCUUUUUUCGGAAAAGAUGGAACUCAAACUAGUAGUGGGCUUUCUUCCUUUCGUCUUUCUAUCUUCCCCACGUAGCGGCUUUCGUACUUAUUUGAGGUUUCAUGUGGAUUAAGAGAAGAGGCUUUUCGAGUCACAAAGAGAGUAAAAACAUAGUUCUUCUUUGAGGCUACUGUCCUUAUCGGCUAGCCUUCCCCUUCCGGGUUGGCGGGGCAAUGAAAAGACUUUGAAAUAGAGAAAGAAGCCAAUAGAGUAGAAAGUCAAUGAACAAGGCGAUCAGAAUUUUCGAAGGACUUCGGACCGUAGGAGGCUCAAAGAAUAUUGCGAAGAGCUUUCCACUGAUUGGAUAUGAGACCUCUAGCGAGUGCCUCAGUUCAACUUCCUGGUGAGGUGAGAAAGGGGAUUGUACUUAUUGAAUCUACCCUCCCUAGUCCCGAGAACUCUUUUAUCUGACUCAGUCUCUUCUUUUCUCUCGGAUGAAUCCCAUGAAAGUUGACUCUUUUUCGAAAAAGAGUACUAAAUCAAAAGAGAAAGCCUAUCCUUCUUUCUCAACCUAAUAAAUACCGUAACGAGUUGACGCUCCGUGGGGUAGAGAGAAUUGCUUCUUGCAAGUUCGGUCUGCUUGGAAUAGGCCAAGGCCCUAAUACGAGUUCAAGGUACUAGAGUAGAAUGAAUUACCUAAAUCAGAACCUGGGUUAUCAGAAGCUCUCCAUUUCGAAGUUCGUAGCCUUCGCAUCUUUUUCUACUUUCAGUUUCUAGUCGGACCAAGUGGAAUCUUUGAUACAUUCUUAUAUGAGUCCGACCGAGGACCCGUCCUUCUUAGUUCAGUGAUUGAAUCUACCAUAUGAACUUCCUUUUAGUUUGAGUAGGUUUCAAAACAUAAGAGAGAAAGUUGGAUUGAGUUCCAUAAAUCAGUCGGGAAAUAGAGGGUGACUGAAUAAGGCGCGAAGCGAAAAGCAAGCUUCUAUCUUCUAUUUUGAUGCGUCUCAGCCAAGCGAAAAGUUGGAAUUCAGGCGCUUUCCUUUGGUACGAAUCGCUGGAGUUGGCAUUGAGAGUGGAAGUUGGAGAAGUCCCUUGCUGCCGUUGAAGACUCCUCGGGGAGUUACGCAGCUUGAAAGGAGCGAAGAGCUUGACCGAGCUGGGGGGUAUCGACUGGAUAGGAUCGUGAUGAUUCCCCUAGUUGAAGUGACCUAUCGGGCAGAGGUUAGAUAUAGUCCUCACUGUAUCGGAUUGAAUAUGCUUCUUUUGCUUUACCUAGUUUACAAGGGGAAGUAGCGUAGCGCGUAUGCUCAUUCUUCUUCUUUUUGUAGCAGUUGAACUUCUAUUCUGAAUCUCGUGAAUUCACUCAUUGUCAUAUUCCUUCCCAUGAAAAGGAGAAAAUUCUCUUUCCGCAGAGGUUGAGCUUGAUAGGGCUCGGAAUCAGUAGCUGGAAUUAAACUACCACGGACCGGCAUAGGCAGACAGGUUAGCUCCCCAAGAGGCAGGAGAUAGGCUCGACCAGUGAGUCAGAAGCAAAAGAGACUCAAGGUUCGGGUCGGCAAGUAGGGAGUAGCAGUUCUUCUUUCAGUUUCAGUAGCCUCAUCUCUUGAGUAAGGCAACUUGCCUCAAACUCCGGUAAAUUCAUAAGGCAUAGGAAGAAAAAGGCAAAGGUCAAGAGGCUCAAAGAAUAUUGAGGAUCAGACUACUCCCAGAACCCACUACGCGGUGAGGAUACAAAGGUUAGGACUCAUGAAAUUCCAUAUUCACUUUUCUUUGAUCCUUUUCUUUAUCCGUCCGAAGGACUAUCCAUAUUAACCUGUCUGUCCGGAGGACCUGUCUUAUGGCACAAAAGUCAAUCAAAGAAAAUCAGUUCAUUAACGAUAAUGAAAGAAGCUCAAAAAGAAUCUGCUAGAUUUCAGAUGAAUCCGCGGAGGGAAAUGCUAGGUUUUGGGCCUAUAAAGUAGCAAGAAAUCAAGUCAAAUGCCUUCUUUUUCUACUUUUAUCGUUAAAUAUCAAUCUUCGAUUUACUAUGAAAAAGAAGCAAAAAAGCCGGGAAAUAGCAAGGCAUUGUCCUAUUUGAUUUUCGAAAUUCACAUGGAUCAGUUCUAGUUUGAGUUUCUGGUCCGGAUACUGACAGGUCUAUUCUGUAUUCCGCGUAGGAGAAAGAAGACAAAGAAAGAUAUUGCUGGUCGGAAAAGAAAUGAACAUAGUUUUCUUAUAGUUUGAGUUUGUGGUCCGGAUACUGACAGGGAUAUUCUUGCCUUCUAAUGGAUAGUCCGGAGGCGCAAUAUGCGAAGGCGCAAAGAAUAUUGCGCGCUACUCUUAGCUUGAUUUUCAGCCAGCCAUACCCAAACCUUGCUUGCAGCUUGCUUGAGACUUGGACUUGGCUUACUAACUAUACCUGGUGCCUGACUCUCAUGGAAAAAGAAAGGAAGAGGAAAGAGAGGGUGCAAAGUCUAUCCCUCCCUAUAUAGUCUUUUCUAUCCAAUUGUGCUCUUUGAAGCUUUCCAUCGAUCAGUCCUGAAUGGGGUCCUAUCCCGCUUCACCAACUUCUUACUAAGCAAAGGUAGUCAGGUGAACUCUAGCAAAGACCUCUGAAAUGUCUCCGAGGACAGUAAUUUGGAUUUCUUCGGAUUCGUGAACCUAGGAUUAGCAUCGAAGGUUUCAUUCCAUUGCCCGACUCUCAUCGUAAUGAGGAGGUUGAAUCUCAAUCCUAGUCUUAUCCUUAAUCCCUUGCUGCUCAAAGCCUUAGAUUGAAUGCCGACUUUGGAUCAAACCUUUGGCAGAGCACUAAAAUCACUUCUAAUGGAUAGUCCUCCGGACUGGUCCUCCGGCGCAAAGCAUAUUGCGGCUUUAUUUGGAGGAAUUCCGUAGCAGCUAAUUGAUCUAUAUCUUCCUUAUCAAUGAUCUUUGCUCCUCAUCUGGAGCCUUUGUUUUUGUCGCAGCAAAGGCGCAAAGAAUAUUGCGUGAUGAUGAAGACGACUAGAAAUAAAGAAAGCACUACGCGGGAAGAACUGGAUAAGGUCAGAGUAUUCGUUCUUUCUGGGAAAUUACAAACCCUGGGUUCUGACUUGACUAUUGUACGUAAAGACUGGACCGAUCCCAAGAACAAGGGCAAGGCGCGGCACUCUUGACUCCAUUUCCGUUCCGAAAUCAUAGGUAGAAAGCAUAGGAUAAGAGUCUCAGACGGACUAAUUCGAUAGAGUUGCAAGGAUAUAGAAAGAUUUCUCGCUAGAUCAGACCAAGGGAGGGCAAUUCAAGGGCCACUGCUGCGACUGAAGGUGACACUAGCUAUCUCGGAUAGGAAAGAGAGGCUUGAUCGGUAACCACAGAUUUCAAGGUCUUUCUCCACUGUCUGAAAGAGCCAUUGAUUCACACUGCCCGCUAUAGCGAAGAGAGAGGGGCGGAGCCACUCGACCGAUAGGGAGAGGGUUUUGGUCUCUUCUUCCUAAAUAGAGAUUCAACCGGAGAUGGGCAAUUUGAUUAGCUAUCUUGCUAUAAGGGUGGAGCGUAUGAUAAGCGAGCGAUCAGGGCUAAGAAGGGAAAAGAGUCCUCUUGUUUUUGAGAGGUGGACCUUUAGGGCCCCUCCUUUGCCGGGUAGGGCGGGACAACGGAUAAAGAGUUAGAAGAGGUUGAGAGCUCCUAAUUGAGCUGCUAUCUGCUGCGUAAAUGGAUAGAAAGGCAUCCUAAGCAGGGCUGGCGGGAAAGUAGCACCUUGCUCAGGAUGAGAGGGCUCCUUAUGCCGGGAAGGGCAGUUGAAUGUGAGAUCUAUCCCCUUUAGUUUUGAGGGUUGGCCUGAUCAAAGUAAUCGGGGAUGUAGUAGCCCAAGCACCUACUGGGAGUAGCCUCGUCUUCGCUCAGUGAUGGAAUCCUUGAAUCCAGUACAUUCUGGGUCUCCACAAUGGCUUUGAAUUAUCUGCUCUCUUCUGGCUGGAUGGGUUUCCAAGGUCUUCGUUCGAAGGCUAAUCCCCCUAGUAGGAUAGUCGGACUGAUUUUUAUCCAUUUCAUUCUUGCGGUAUAUCGGUAUCCUAGGCUUUCCUAUUUGUUGUUGGGUAGGCUUUCCAUAACCUUUUCCGCCUAUCGAGCCUUUGUCCUUCAGUUUCUUUUCUUUCUGGGAGUCUGAUUCAGAAGGUUUUUUCUCUGCUUCUUUCUGUCUUUUAUGAGAAAUAGAGUAGAGAAAGAUCUCAUGAAAGAUCGCGGGAUCUCCAUCCACUCGCACGGGUAAGAGGUUCCGGAGCUCUAGAUCAGAAGAAAGGCGCAAAGAAUAUUGCGAAAGAGAGGUGAAGGGGCUGUAGCCCUUGCAGUCCUUGUUGGAGGCAUGAAGGACCAAGGCUUAAUUCAAAGGCUGAUUUAUGGUCCGAAGGCUAGGCGCAAAGUUCGGUUAAUUACGGAAAGUCCUCCGGACUACUUCGGUUAAUUACGGAUGGUCCUACUUCUGUUAAUUACGGAUGGUCCUACGGAUAAAUCCUCCGGACUACUUCCCUCCAUAUGGAUGGUCCUACUUCGGUUAAUUACGGAUGGUCCUACUUCACUCCGGACUUUCCGUAAUUAACCGAACUUUGCACCUCUCCAUUUCAUGCGCUUCGCGCCGGAGGACGACUGAAAGGUGCGAAGCAAAGAGCGCGAGACUAGAGAGGAGAGGCUCAAUGUAAUAUGAGUUGAGAAGCGCAUUUAUCUAAGAAAAGAAGAAAGGCUCUUUGAAUAUUGAGAAUAUUGCUGGAAGAUUUGCACUGGGGGAUAUUCUUGAGAAGACUCAAAAUAGCGGGACUUCUCUUUCUUCUCUUAAAUAAUAGUCUUUCUUAAUGAGGGGAAAAUGGGUCGAGCUGUUCGGGAAUUUCCAUAAAUGAGAUGAGAGAGUCUUCUUGAAUAUAAGGCAGGCCACAAGGAGAGCUACUGAAGACUGCUCCUCCUACUUCCGGCGCGCUGACCAAUACUGGGGAUUUCUGGUCUGACCCCGGCGGCUUUCUCUUUAUUCCUUUGAUUUGAUUGGGAUUUUUUAGGUUUUUUCUUUCAAGAAAGAAUAUUGCGUCUUUGCGCCUCCGACGGAGCAGCUCCAAAAAGCCUCUGCGGUCAGUCCUUCGGACCUGCUGACGAGUCUGAUUCCACUAAAAAAUGACUCAAUAUUCUGAGCAAUAUGCACCUACGCGCGGAUAUUAUCGGCUAUUUAACAGCUUUUUUCUCCAUAAUACUUUUUCAUUUAAGCUAUUUAAGAGUGGUUAUUAAGCGGCUUUUUUUCGGAAGGCAAAGAAUAUCUCUGUCUUAUUUAUGGGAGCCUCCGUAGCUUAAUAUGUCAUCUUGACCUUUCUCGUCCCUUCCUCUUUGAGCGCUCCGACGGAGCAAAGUUCUUUAUAGGAGGCGCAAAGCAUAUUGCUCAAUUUGAGAGAACUAAAAAACCGAAGGAGGCGCAAUGAAAUAUGCGUAGAAGAAUGAGUCUACCUUUCAAAAAGAAACCGCGGAGUGGGAAAUCGUGAAAAAUGGGCGAUUUGGCGUGCAAUCUUCCAUCUUUCCUAUGCCCCAAAGUCACUAACAAAGUGAUUCUCACUAAAAACAAGGGUCGGACAGGCAGAACACAACCAUCUGCAGCACUCAAGUCAACGGGUCUCGCUUAACUUGCACUCCUUCUAAGUCGCUUCGCGCCUCAUGGUCUCGUCUUCUCUUUGGUGGGCGUAUUGGGAUUCCUUUCCUUACUCGAACUUCUGAACAAUCUUUCUUUGGGUUAAUAUGGAUAGGACUGAGGACCAGUCAAUCAAUCAUCAAUAUCCCUGUCUCGCAAUAUUCUUUGCGCCUGGAAGUCUCGCAUAUUGAAUUGCGCCUUCGGUAAAAUCACUUUGCUCCGUCGGAGCGAUCCAACUGAAUGAAAUAAGUCGAGCUUCCUUAGGCGCGUCUCGUGGGAGGCCUAGCCGGAUACUUCUCUUUUACCUUUUUGAUGCAAGGACGACUACAGCCUUUACUUUACCUCGGGCGAGCAGAAAGCCAUAAUCCUUUUAGGACGGAUUCCUCUUCCUAAAGUCGAGUCAUUUCAUUCCUCUUCCCGCUACGUGGGGUCGACCCUUUCCCAUAUAGAUGGUGGUCAUUCAACUCAUCUGGAGCUUUUCUUUUUGUAGUCUUAGGCCGGGGCAAUAGAAAGUUCCCAUGCUGCUGUUGGGAACGUAGAGUUCGAGAUGAGCACUUAUUGAGAAUGGGGGGGAAUCUUUUUGAUCAUAUUUCUUAGUUAAGAAUCUAAGCUUAUCAAGAACAAGAGAAAGAAGAAAAGCAAGGAAAGACCCCCUACGGGAACGGCUGACGCUUUUGCCUUGAUCCUCUGCUGUUUUGGGAGUUUCCUUUGUCCCUGAACUCCGCCUUAUAAGAUUAGUCUUAGAGUGAGUUCAUCCCUUCCAUUAUACGAGUGAAUGAAGUGACCUUUUAAAGGCCUAAUAACCUUGAACUCGGUAGAAAGAAGGCAUCUUAUCUUUUUUCAUGCCUUUCCUUUUUGAUCGCCAUUCUCUUCUUUGUUCUUGUAUUUUCUGGGGAUCGUGGGGAUGGCAUGGGACGCCUCUUCGGAGGAGUUCUUCACUUAUCCGAAAUAAAUGGGUGAGGACGAGGAGGAAUCCCGCCUUUACCGCUACGUGGGAUCAACCGGCUGGGCCACCUGACUUUUUCCCUGUAAAAUAGUCCAUGGGUCGGAUCGUCCAAAAGAUGAUUCCCAGUGGUGAGACCUGAACUCGCAUCUCUCGCCCUUUGCUUACUUUACGCGCAUCAAUCGUUAAGAUUUGCUUUCUCUAACCCAGAGUGAGAACUAUCACUAGAUUCUUCAUCAAAAGUCUUGAGCGAGGACAUCAAGCAAUUGGGUCCAUUACACCUUUUUCACCUUCAAAGAUUUCUGGGUGGACAAUCAAUGUCUUUACUGGAAGGAAGAAGAUCAAAAACCCCAAAAAUAGGAGAGCGGAUUCGCACCCGGAGGGAGACAAGACGUCAUCACCAGAGAGGAAUGCUCUUGCUCAAUAGAGUUGACUCUGGUCGGAUUAGUUUAGGGAAUGAAGUUGCUCAUGAGUAAGGGAAUGAUAAGGAUAGGGUCCGGGUAGAACUACUACUUUAAUUGAGACUGUAUGAGACACCCCCUUUCUAUCCAUCCUGUAAUCUCCGAUAAAAGGUGCGAAUACUAUUCCUUAUAGAAGGUUCGGGCUGGCCCUUGCUAGGCAUAAAAGGGCGCCCACGGAGCGGGCGAGGUUGAAGUUUCAUAAGGAUAGGUUGAAUAAGCAGCAGUUGCUUUCCGUCUUCUAUGAUCUCUUUCAUUCCUUAUUCGAAAGAAGGCAAAGAAAGUGGAAAGGAAAUCCUGGGAUUGUAACCAUUGAGCUUGAACCAUGAUUUAGAGUGAAAGGUUAGGCUAUUUGCCUUGGGCAAGGAGAUCUAGCUAGAGAUCGCAAGAUCGAAGAAAAGCUUUCGCAUCCUCAACUACAGCAGCCACAACUACUGGAAGAAAAAGACUUUUUCAAGAACCACUUCUGCAAGUGCUCCAUUAGUUCUUUGCUUUCCUCUACUUUCGGAUUCUAUCAUAGCUUCAGAAAAGAAAAGGGCAAUAUUCUUUGCGCCUCCCCCCGUCCUCCGGACUAUCCGUAUUAACCUAGCCUUCGGACCUGUCUUAUGCAUCCUUACUCAAAUUUCAUUGAUCCUCUCCGCCCCGUGGGAGUCUGAAAUAUUCUUUGAACCUCUCCGGUCGAGCAGCGGCUUUGCACCGCUCCGUGGGCCUCUUUUCUUUCAUCUUCUUUGAAUCUCACCGGGAUAAAUCAGCCUAAGGAAAGAUGUCGUGGAUGGAAGAAUGGAAGUUGGAACGUCAAAUCAGCCAUUUGGCUAGUCAAAUGUGAGGUAAAAUCGUACUUUUGGAACCCACUCCGCCUACUAUUUGGAAGAAAGCCUAUCCUUCGAUGGGGUGAAAGCCUUCUUAUCCAGGUGGCUACUUACUAACCUCGUCGAGUUCUAGCCUCUCCCUUUCUUAAGAGUUGCUUCGCGCCUUGCUAUGGUCAACAAGUGUAUGCCUUUGCUCCCUUCCCUUCUCUGAAUAUCAGAUGUGCUGGUGAGGCCUUUGUACGUAAUGCUCUUUAUGGGCUUCUGCCGAUUCCCCGCUUCGCAAAUUCAAAGCUCCUAACGUCAAAUAAGAAGUAAUAGUAUUCAAAUCCCCCGUCCGAAGGACAGACGGGUUAAUAUGGAUAGUCCUUCGGACCUGUGGACAUCUACAUUGUUUUUAGUGGACAAAAGACAAAGUACUAUAUAGAAGGCGCAAAGAAUUUGCGAAGAAGGCGAGAAAAGAGGGAUAUUGUUGCGUGAGAAAGAAUUUUCUCUUUUUAUCCCCCCAGGUCCGAAGGACUAUCCAUUAGGGGAUCCCACGUAGCGGUGCAAAGAAUAUUGCGAGGCGCAAUGAAAUAUGCGUAGAAGAAUGAAUCUACCCUUUACCGCUAAAUAGGAGCAGCUUAAUAUGUGAGCGGUAGGCCUCUUCUUCCUUAGAUCGCCCCUGCCCGAGCAGGCUUGAUGGAUUGAUUGAUGAAAUCAUAUAUAGGACAAAAACUCCCAACGUAGACGAGGCACACAGUAAAGAGGGAAAGAGACCAAACUCACUCACGAAAAGGAAAGAUUGAAUGAAAGAGGGAAAGGUCUCAUCAUUCUCCCGAACGUACUCACUCGCCCGCCCAGGACAAAGAAGCUCGAGGCCCUUGUUCAUUGAGGCGGUUAUGGACUUGCUCGAGGUUGGAGUGAGGCAUAACCUCUUCUAUCCUAAUCGGCGCAUAAGGAAGAGACCAGGGGAAUUCAGAAAGAGAAGUGGCUUGGUGUCGGAACCCUUGGUCUUUUAGUCGUCAAGUUUCAUUCACAUUUUGAUGAUAGGUGCAAAGAAUAUUGCGAGACAGGGAGAGGGGCGAAGAGACUCGACCGUAGGGAGAGGGGCGAGAACUAUCUAUUCUUCCGCCAUACCCAAAACGUGAACACGGGAUUGGACGUGCUUUCUUGCUUAAACCCUUGCACAUGCUCAGGAUCGUCGGAUAAGGGAGGGGUAGAAGUAUUUACGGGGAGAAGGGAGUAAGUGCUCUCUAAAGGGCUGGUUCGAAGGACCGAUACGAAGCACUGCCUUGAGUCCGCCGCCGAUGUUGACGAUUGUAGAUGGGAGCUUUCCCUGACCUCUUAUUCAAGGAGAUUUCGUUUUCAUAUUUGACCGCCCUGAAUUUCCUUAUGUUAAGCCUUUUGACCUCGUAUUUGACUUCCGAAGAUUUGACUCCUUCUGCAUUCAAACUUCGUAUUCAAAAGAAGAAGGAGGCGCAAAGAAUUUGCGAAGAAGGCGCUUCUAAUGGAUAGUCCGGAGGACGGGGAAUGUGAGUUGCAGAAAGAAAAAGCAUGAACUAUCAGGUCGGAAGAGGUCCCAGGAGAAUAGGUUUCGUCAGAUCUUGAGAUAAGAAGAAAGGAUAGAAAAGCAACUCCACCAGGAUCGGGGAUAGGUUAGCCCAGCCGAAUGGGCCUAGUAGUAGUGAGGUAGGACUGAUUAAUACGAGAGCAAAGGUGCGAAGGUGCAAAGAAUAUUGCGAGAGGUUCGAAUACGAAGAGUCAGAAGUCCCAUUAUGAAUUCAAGACCGAAACCGUUAAGCAAAUGAGACCGAGGUGCAAAGAAUAUUGCGGAGAUGAAAUUGAGUUAGAAGAAAACUUGAAUCUCCCUGGCGAGAAGAAAGGAGACCUACGAAGCAAAGAAGCGGAGCGGUAGACUAAGAAGUCAAUAAUCAGUCAAAGGGCUGCACCGCUGGUCCCCAACCCAAAGACGGAUGCGCAUCGGCGAUCAUGGAAAGGAGCGAAGGCAGAGAAUACCCCCUUGCUAGGGCCAGAGCUGCUCGACUCUCAAUCUCAAGUCCUCCAAGGAUAAAGGCUAGGUCCUUUUCUCAUACCAAUAGGGGGCAUUCAAAAACCUUAGUUUAAUGGAAUGGCUAGUCAAGACCAGGGUAGACCCACACCAGGGAGAGGGCGAAUAGAGGCUGUCCGGCGACGAAGGUGUUCCAGCCAAAACAGCUACGUGGGGUUGAUCCUAGGGUCUUCUUCAGUCCGCUUGGACAGCUAGAAACUAUCUUCUUCAAGGAAGCGCUUGACUGAAACUAGAAAUGCUAUAAAUGGUGGAGUCGUCUUGUGCAGGUUCUAGGCCUGCCUUCCCCCAAGUUCAGGGGUUAGCCUCCCUUUUCAUUUCAUUCAGGGCAUCAUCCUCACGUGAGGCAAUCCAUGACUUGACUUAUAGUUCACAUUGAGCUCCCUCUCGUCCUCUAUUUGAUUGGGAGAGUGGUUCGCAACUAUCAGAUAUAGAUCUCUUCUUUCUUUCCAGAUCUUUUCUUUGUUUUGUCUGGAUGCCCUUUUCGGGCUCACUUCCUAAGAACCCAGCCCCCAAGAGGAAAUGGACAGGCAUUGAAAAAAGCCGAAGCGCUGGCAAAAACCUAGAUUCUAUCCAACCCACUCGUAGUGCCCUAGACCUGAGGGGUUAGGUUAAGGGAUUCAUUUUUCAAGUCAAAGAGGGCAGUCGCUGGGCCUUCUUUCUUUGAGUCACUCGCUCCGGGGAGAUCCUCUUUGGUAGGGAUGGGACUAAAGAGCUCUAAAGAGCGGCAACAGCUUAUCCGAAAAAAGCAGUUCUCUUAUCUUAUCGAAAAAGGUCUCGCUUUGUCUCCUGAAGUUCAAGUCAGAAAAUCAAUGAAGAAGUCGAUGCCCACGUAGCGGGAAAAGACGAAAGCAGGGAGACAAAGGCUCAAAGAAUUUGAGAUAGGCUUUCAGUAUUAUUUUGAGGUUCUAGAGGCGCAAUGAAAUAUGCGAAAGCAGGGAGCAUCAAAAUUCAUGUAUAGGGCUUUUUUUGGAAUGAAUGAUCCUACUUCUUUAUCAAGCUUAAGGAUAGGUCGUCCGGAGGACUUGUUUUUAUCCAUCUGAGCUGGUCAAAAUGCAACAAAAAAGAAGGGAAAACGCAAUAGAACCUACUAUUAUAUUAAGCCUAUCUGAUGCUUCUCUUUGCAUUCUGAGAAAAGAAAAAAUAAGGAGGCCUACGACUAAAAAAUACGGCUCGUCAUAACAUAAAAUCAAUGCUUUUAGUGAAAGGCAACUCAUAUUACAUUGAGCCUGCCGGAGAGGGAAGAACUGUUGUUGAGAGACAGGCGCAAAGAAUUUGCGAAGAAGGCGCAAUGAAAUAUGCGAGGCGCAAAGAAUAUUGCGAUAGCUCUGACUUUGAAAAUAGCUUAACCUGUGGAAUAAAGAAGUGAACUCAUUAUUAAAGAGAGAAUUUACGGGAUUGGUCUAAUCAAUAAAUAAAGAAUAGUCGCAAUAUGCGCCUUUCUUCUCUUCAAAUUCUUUGAUCCUUCUCACGGCAGCUAAGGAUAUUCUUUCUUCCCGCUCCGUGGGCUGACUUUGGGCCUCAGUAGCUUAAUUAAGAAAGUCAAAUCCCAUGAUUCCUCCUCUCCGCAAUAUUCUUUGCACCUUGCCUUUUUUCCUUCUUUAUAUUUCCGACCCCUUAUACAAAGGCUCCAUAAAGAAAUACGGAUUGGGAUUCACGGAUUGGAUUAUCAUUAAUAAGCAGUUCAGAUCUUGCUGCCCUUUUCGAGCUAGACCUCUAUCGAACUAAACCUUACUCAUUUCUAAUACUAAUACCGGGAGGGCACCGAUGUACAGGGGCUGAUUUUAGAAUUCCGAGUGCCGAGAACGGGGGCGUCAAAGAGAAGAGGUAUAUCCUUGCACGGCGACGAUACCCUUUUCUCGGUCCGAGCAUCCCACUCGGAUAAUGAGUCGGAUAAUUAUUGGUAAGCGAAUCCUGUUCGCGUUCUCGGCCGAGCAAAAGCUCCAUUGCCGAGCAAAACCGAAGGUGGCCAGCCGCAUAGUCUCUAAUUCAGAUCUGGAAUUACAUUCUACGUCCGACUGCCUUGUGUGAGAAGGAGGGGAGAUAUUUAUAAGUAACCGAUUCGGGAAAGGGUAACUUCAACCUUUACGGGCCUGGGGAAGGCCUGCCUACUAGUUUAGUUGGUCUAGAGCUAGUCUAGUAAGACUAAAUAGUAGGUGGUAGCCUUAGGGCCCCAAACGAGGUUAGGGAAAGUGACACAUUUGAAAAGUGAGAAAUCGCACUUUCCCGGUUACCGUCCACGCUAAGAUAGAAGAAGGCACUGCCCGUGUGGCUUCAACCUCUGCUGUGGGUCUUUCAAGACGAAAGACCAAGGCCUGAUCACAGCGGCCGUACACAUCCGUUAUUCUCUACCAAGGGAAAUGUCUACUAGAUGCGUAAAUCAGAUCGUGACAAGAUCUCAAGUUGCACCACAUCUCACUUAGGUCCAACCCUUGGUUCGGUUGGUGGCAUCGCGAAGUCAAGUGAAUUUCACAUCAAUUUUCUGAACCGGUAGAUCGGAUUGGUGGCGGUUAGUCAACCCCGAAAGAAGGGGAGUGAGAGAUGCGAUAAGGGUCAGGGGAUGACUUUGAAAGGUCACAUAAAAGUUCAGCGUCUCGAUAUUCACGCCGAUCGGGACCGGUCCUCCGGCAGGUCGCAAUAUUCUUUGCGCCUCGUUGCGCUCCUUGAUUCUUUUCCGCAAUAUUCUUUCCUCCUAACUACUAAUGGAAAGUCCUUCGGACUCCAUGAACUGUGAAAAUACGAUAUGAGAAUAGAUAGUUCUCGCUUGAGCUCUCUCUUACCUUUCUAGCUUCUCCAACUCGGGAAAGAUCUAAAUCAGGUCUAGCUUCCGAGACAGAGAAGAACGAUUUGAAACUUUCCAUCCAGCGCCUAUGUCAAAACCUAGUUCAAGAUCGAAUGAGCACUGAAAGUCUGACUCGAGUCAUUAUGUCUUUCUUAUCCGUUAUAUACUCCACAUUCUAGAAGUUCAUAAAGAAAGAAAGUGAACAAGAAAAUGGAAAGUCUCACUCUCAGAAAGUUAUCCAUCGCUUGAUACUAACCAUACCUUUACCGGCUUUCAUAAAAGCCAUUAUUAUAUUAUUUCUGGCCGUAGAAGGCAUCAAUCAUAUUUCAUGGAUCCUCCCUUGCCUUUUUCUACUUUCAGUUUCUAGUCGGCGUCGGACUCCCAUAAAGAAGAGAUUAGGCUUUCCUUUAUGUCUUCUUUUCCUUUGUCGGCUAAUAAGUUGAAUGAGAAAUUGAACUUUCAAGGCCGCCAGAUGGAAUCUACAGCCCUUGCACCCAUGAAACUCCUUUUCCUAAGCCACUCCUUCCCUUCUCGGUGGGUCAAGCCUUCUCACCGCCUCAAUGAAGAACCGCUGACUCUUCCCGGAGAAUGCUACAUCUCUUUCUUCCACAGCGACUCUACUGAAGAAAGAGCGGCUGCCACUGCCUCAAUGAACAAGGGUCUUCGCUUAGCCCCGAAUGAGGACUCAAUUUCGACUCCUUCUUCUCCGGAACGAUUUUGAUGCAAUUACUGAAUUUGAUAUCUUCCAUAACCUUUCUAGAGGCCGAGGGCUCGAUCUAGCUCAUUCCCGACGAAGCACGGAUCGAGCGGACGGACUCACGGAUGUGAAUACCUCGUCCUCCAUGGCUACCUUCUUAAAUGAGAAAUGCUACCUCCUUAGAAGAAGACCUCUGAUCCCUAGGCGAACCUUCCAAACCUAAAAAUAAUACGAAAGAAAGCCUUCUCACCUUUAUCUUAUCUUUCAGGGAGCCUAUUUGGGGCUAUGAGUAACCCCGCGACAGGUCAAUUCCCACGUAGCGGUAGGUUUUCCCCAUGGAAAUAUGAAAGUCUUGUUGUCAAAUCAUCCCCAGACAAAGAGCAAACUCACCCCUAGAGGUCGGACGGGCAAAGCCACGAGGAGUCUGACGAGAGGGAAGUAUCUACUCGUAUGAGUAAAGGCAGCGAUCAGUUCAGCAGAGGCCCAGGCGAGAGGCUCAGCUCAAGGAGAGGCAUCCCUUUCAGAACAAGCUGUAGCCCUCGAGUUCUUUAUUGAUUGAUGAGCAAUCUUGCUGAACUUUGCCUUCUUUAUUUAGAUCUGAAAUCAAAGGCUGAACUGAAUGUCCCCUACAGCAAGAAGGACCAACCUUCUACCCUACCCUAUUUACUGGAAUAUUCUCCCUGGGAUCAGGAUCAGAAGCGAGACCAGACCUCAAUGAACAAGGUGAGAAGGCUUUCUUCUUUUCUCCUUUCUUAAUAAUCGUGGGGUUGAUCAGAGCUAAGCUCGAGUGAGUUGUAGAGUGAGAGGAAAGGAAAAGGCUCGACUCGAGGAGGUCUUCUUAUCUUCUUUCUUGUUUCGGAGUUCACUCUAUUUGAACUCUCUUUACAUUCUGUUUAUACGUUUUUCGUGUACAAAAUGAAAGAGGGAGAUAGGCGCAAAGCUCAAAUACUUUGAUCCUUUGAACCUUUUAUUUGAAGCUGCUGGAGGCAAAAAAUUGCACAAGCUCAGUGGUCCACUUCUCGUUGAGGCGGCAUUAGGCAAUUCAGCUGGCAUAACAUCCUUUCAACUUUAUAGGAUAGGCAAGAUCUCUGAGGGCAGGUUCCUUGCUGGCUCGAGGACUCCUUCCUCCUUGAGGCAUGCUAGGAAGGUGGGCUGCGCCUUCUUGAAUCCCUUUGAGAGCUGCAUUGCUGAAAUUUGCCUUGCUUGAAGGCUAGACUCUCGUGCUAACGGAACCAUGGAAGGAUGGCCUUCUUCCAAGAUGCACAAACUCUUGCUGAAAGGAAUAGGUACUGCCUUUACUUGGUCUAAAAAUUCAAUGCCAAGAAGCACAAUGGGAUAAUCAUCCGUAGAACUCCGAAGUCAAUCUCUCCACUCCACUGCCCCAAGUUCACGCCACGAGCUACUCCGAAGAUGGAUUUAGGCCCUGAGUUUUUUACUGCCUUGAGCCAUCCAGGCUCCUUGAUCUAUUUUACGCCCAAAGGCUCAGCUUCCUUCUCCUCUCGAAAGUUGUUGGUAGCCCCUGUGUCCACCAUGGCUGUGUAGUUGCCUAGUUUGCCUUCUACAUAGAAGGGUCCCUUCCUUGCUGCCUUGGGCACUUCAACUUUGGCCUGUAUAGCAUGAAAAAUCGAACUUGAUCCCAUCUUCGUCUCCUCGUAGCGCCGAAAAUCCAGACUUCUCAAGAAUAUCCCCCAGUGCCGCAAAUUCUUUGCGCCUUGCACUCCUUUCUUCUUUUCUUAAAUAAAUGCGCUUCGUAGAUUAUGCUGAAGGAGGAGUGGGGUCCACAAUUGAAGGAUUUGAUGGGCUCCCCAUCCUUCUUCUUGUCCUUGCUCCUUGCUAGGACUGCCUCCUUUGCUUUUGCCUUUAUCGUAGCCUUUUCUGACUUGCCUCCCCCACUCUUUCCCUUGCCCUUCUCUUUGCUGGCUUUGGAAAACUCAGGCUUCUUGAACUCUAUCAAGGACUCAGCUACUGAAAUGGCUGUGGCAAGGUCCUGGACUCCGCGUCUCUGCCAAGUGCGCCGUGGCUUAAACUCAAUUUUCUUUGAGAAGCUACAAAGGCAAAGUCAAUCGCAAUCUGCUGCGCUAGUGAUGAUUGGGAAGUACUUGACCUUUUUCUUUUCUCCAACUCUCAUUGCAAGAGAAUCAACUGAAACUGGCUUGGCGGAUACUGCGGGCUUUCACCGCUAAUGAACCCGAAGGUACGGAGUAGAAUGCUUUCCCGCCUUAGAGUGUGCCAGUAGCUUUCUUCUCUCACUUCUUUCAGAUCAAUGAAGUUGAAAAGGAAUAGAGUAUACAAAGCUCUCACUCCAAGAACUCUCAUAGUUGUGAGCUUAACUACCUGUGCAAAGAGAAUCGAUGCCUUCUAUCUUAGAGUAAGCAAGGGCUAGAAAUCGAGGACCGCUACAGCGAUUCAAAAUUGACCAUUUCGAUCUAUCUCCUUCAACAGUCUAGGCCAUCGAUAGUCGGACUGAUUUAUGGAACUUAUCCCUCCAUAAUGGCGGAGAAGGUAGGAAACUUCAGCAAAGAAGCGGCUCGAGCAGAAAGCCUUUGUUCAGACAAGCUUGAUAAAGAAGUCCUUCGGUUCAAAAAACCAAAAUCAUAGUAUGAAUCUUUGAAUAGACAGGACAUUCUUUCUUUUUGUUUGGUCCUCCGCCUAAUUCAUAUGGGGAUCUGCCUCAUUCAUAUGGAUCAAAAUCAGUCCCACUAUUUCAAAAGAAAAAUAAUAGCUCUCUGAAUCUCUGGGUUAAUGUUAAUAUGGAUAGUCCUCCGGUCUCGCAAUAUUCUUUGCGCCUAACGGUCAAUGAAAUAUGAGAAGAUGACAUUCUUUAUUUAGCAAGGUUUCAUAUUGCUCAAAGAAGCGGAUAAGACAGAGGCAAAGAAUUUGCUGUUUUUACCGCGUAGUGGGUUACGGAGUGAAAUCAGCCAAUCGAGAAAAAGUGGAAUAAAAACCGCGUAGUGGGCUAGAGCUUGAUUUUUCUGGAGUCCUUUGGCCUUCCUCUCUUUUCUAGAAAGUCCACUAGUAGCUCCAUCGCUGAUAUUCCUCGCAUCUUCAUGCGCUGUGAGUCCUCCCACAGGUCCGGAGGAUUUAUCCGUAGGACUAUCCAUUAGGACUGAGGAUCAAAGAAUUUGAGAAGGAGAGAGUUGACGAAUUUCAUGUUCAAAGAGCCAAUAGGUGAAAAGAAUAUUGAAUCCGUGGGCUUCUCUACCUUUCCAAGAAAAUGGAAACCCAUUUGGAUGACUUAUCAGCCGAUCCGACCCGAGAAUGAAGGCCAAUCCCUCAUUUAUUAGGAAAAAUUCAGGCAAGGUGAAAUUCAAUAUGACGAAGCGAUAAAUAGUGGUUGAUCUUAGAAUAUAUAAGUGGUUUAUCAAGCUCUGCUCAAGAAAUAAGAAAAUAAUAUGAAAGUGGUUUAUCAAGUUCUUUUUUAUGACUGAAAUCUGCGAAUCUAAUAAGUUGAUAUUAGAAAGUAAUAAAGUGCCUUUAUCAAGCCCAGAAGAGCUUUAUAGUCUUUAUCUAGCUUAGGCCUCUUUCUUUACUCAAUCUAGCUUAGGCCUCUUUCUUUACUCAGGGCCACUGAAGACUGCUCAUACAGCCACAACUGCGACCGGAACUGCUGAGGACGAUUCCUUUGGCUUUCUUCCCCGCUUCGAUUGAUUCCCGGCUUAAAUAGGCGAGUCCUGACUACAUCGCAUCGGCUUAACAGAAUCGAAAUCCGAGUCCUGCUGAAAUGGUCCCUAUUAUCUUCUUAUGUAUCCUAAACCUCCUCAUAUGAUUAUCAGAGUUCCGAGAUGAGAACAGUUCUUGCAAUGACGGACUCACUCCCAAUCUACAAUAUCUUUCUUCUUUGCGCUGGAGGUCCUUCAAUGCCCACGUAGCGGGUUUUAGUUCCAUUAAUCAGUCCUCCGCGGGUAGAGUCCGACUAGAAAAAAAAUAAGUGGAAUGAAAAAAGAAAGAAUGUCUCUUCUCAAAUACUUUGAGCCGGAGUUAGGCGCAUAAUAUGGAUUUCAGACGUAGUAGGAGCGGUCCUCAGCCUUUAUUUGAGAAUAUUGCGUUUUGGAGGCGCAAAGAAUAUUGCGGCGGGAAGAAUGGAUAUUGUAGAGUACGUACAGUAUCCGAUCGGGGAGAAAGGAGGGAUCCCAACAAAAAAGGCUAGGGACAAACUAAACUAGGCGUAAGGACGUCGAGGUGGAGGCGAAAGGCUCAAGUGAGUUGUAGAGGCCCUUUGUUCAUUGAGGCGGUAUUCAGUCGGUAGAGGAGUAAGGCGACCACCCGCACCCGAGGGAGAGAGAUCCGUCAAUCUUCUUGUUGCGGAUGAAGCUCUUGCUUUUUCUUUUUCAGUUGCCGUCGGUUAGAGCUCUUUCAUUCUCGUAAAUCAAGUGGAAAGGAAUAGAUUGAAACCAUUGAGCGAUGCCUUUCAUGAGCAGGGAACCUUCCCGCUUGGACCAGGAUUUCGAGUUUCAAGCGCAAGACGAUUCUGGUCUUGUACAGAUUCCAGGGAUGGAUCCCGUCUUGUCGACUUUGUCCCGCAUAUAAGAAGAUAUGAAGAAGUGCGAAUAUUCUUUCAUCAGAUAAAAAAAGAUAUAAGUAGUAAUGAACAAGUGCUCAAG
rnacentral:lncRNA from 1 species